rnacentral:rRNA from 1 species
UGUUGGGUAGGGGAGCGUUCUGUAAGCCUGCGAAGGUGGCCUGUGAGGGUUGCUGGAGGUAUCAGAAGUGCGAAUGCUGACAUAAGUAACGAUAAAGCGGGUGAAAAGCCCGCUCGCCGGAAGACCAAGGGUUCCUGUCCAACGUUAAUCGGGGCAGGGUGAGUCGACCCCUAAGGCGAGGCCGAAAGGCGUAGUCGAUGGGAAACGGGUUAAUAUUCCCGUACUUGGUGUUACUGCGAAGGGGGGACGGAGAAGGCUAUGUUGGCCGGGCGACGGUUGUCCCGGUUUAAGCGUGUAGGUGUGUGUUCCAGGUAAAUCCGGUUCACUUUAACACUGAGGCGUGACGACGAGGCACUACGGUGCUGAAGCAACAAAUGCCCUGCUUCCAGGAAAAGCCUCUAAGCAUCAGGUAACAUCAAAUCGUACCCCAAACCGACACAGGUGGUCAGGUAGAGAAUACCAAGGCGCUUGAGAGAACUCGGGUGAAGGAACUAGGCAAAAUGGUGCCGUAACUUCGGGAGAAGGCACGCUGACACGUAGGUGAAGUGAUUUACUCAUGGAGCUGAAGUCAGUCGAAGAUACCAGCUGGCUGCAACUGUUUAUUAAAAACACAGCACUGUGCAAACACGAAAGUGGACGUAUACGGUGUGACGCCUGCCCGGUGCCGGAAGGUUAAUUGAUGGGGUCAGCGCAAGCGAAGCUCCUGAUCGAAGCCCCGGUAAACGGCGGCCGUAACUAUAACGGUCCUAAGGUAGCGAAAUUCCUUGUCGGGUAAGUUCCGACCUGCACGAAUGGCGUAAUGAUGGCCAGGCUGUCUCCACCCGAGACUCAGUGAAAUUGAACUCGCUGUGAAGAUGCAGUGUACCCGCGGCAAGACGGAAAGACCCCGUGAACCUUUACUAUAGCUUGACACUGAACAUUGAGCCUUGAUGUGUAGGAUAGGUGGGAGGCUUUGAAGUGUGGACGCCAGUCUGCAUGGAGCCGACCUUGAAAUACCACCCUUUAAUGUUU